CCCUGCAUAUACCCUGGGAGAGCUAAAGGCAUUGAAGGCUAAGGCUACAGCCAUUUAUAAACAAAGGUAAUAAUCCACUGAAGGUAGUCAAAAUAAAAUCUCAGAGAUGCAAACCAGAGAGGGCUGAUCUGAGUAAGACAGCCCCUCCUCUCAGAACUGGUGCAGAUGCCUGGAGCCAGUGGCUUGCUGUCUAGUGUGCUUCUCCUUCCGCCACACUAAGAAGCUCAUUUUGAACAUCUCAAGAAUCUUCCUCCCACUCUAGUCCUUAUAUUUAGCCAGGUGGAGCCCCCUGCAAAGAAGCUCUCCUUGUUUCUCUUCUAACUGAUGCUCGGAGUUGAAGAAAAACCCUGCACGCUAUGAGCAAGCAGGUUCUCUGCUUGGUAGCUCUUUGUCUCCUUGCAGUAGGAACCACACAUGGUGGUGCCAUUACUCAGACACCCAAAUUCCUGAUUGGUCAUGAAGGGCAAGAGCUGACCUUGAAAUGUAAACAGAAUUUCAAUCAUGAUUCAAUGUUCUGGUACCGACAAGAUCCAGGGAAAGGACUGAGACUGAUCUACUACUCAAUAACUGAAAGCGAUCUUCAAAAAGGCGACCUAUCUGAAGGCUACGAUGCCUCUCGAAAGGAGAAGGCAUCUUUUUCUCUCACUGUGAAAUCUGCCCAGAAGAGGCAGAUGGCUGUUUAUCUCUGUGCCAGCAGCAUAGCACAGUGGAGAACAGCUACCCCCUGUUCAUGCAUAAAUGUGCCCAAGUCCUGCUUCUCCCACCAGGUGGCUCUUAGGUCCUCCCCUAACCACUGUCCUCUCACUCAGCCAGGACCUAAAGCAAAGUAG